GUAGGUGAACCUGCGGAAGGAUCAUUACCAAAUCCAAAAAAACUUUACCAACACCCAAUGUGAACUGAGAGUGGUUUCGUUCCCCUCCUUCUUCCUUCUUUCUUUCUACUCUUAUUCUUAAGAGUGGGGGGAAUGAGGAGUUGGCGGGAGGGGAAUGCCUUUUUUUUAACCCCUUUACAACUAUACAAGCAUUAUUUAUGCUGAAAGCAAAACAAAAGCGAAACAUGAGACAACUUUUAACGGUGGAUCUCUUGGCUCGG
rnacentral:misc_RNA from 1 species